rnacentral:rRNA from 1 species
GGGGGCCCGCACAAGCGGUGGAGCAUGUGGUUUAAUUCGACGCAACGCGAAGAACCUUACCUGGGUUUGACAUCUCCGGAAUCUCUAUGAAAGUAGAGAGUGCCCUUCGGGGAGCCCGAAGACAGGUGCUGCAUGGCUGUCGUCAGCUCGUGUCGUGAGAUGUUGGGUUAAGUCCCCGCAACGAGCGCAACCCCUAUCUCUAGUUGCCAGCGAUUCGGUCGGGGACUCUAGAGAUACUGCCCCGGUUAACGGGAGAAGGUGGGGAUGACGUCAAGUCCUCAUGGCCCUUAUGCCCAGGGCUACACACGUGCUACAAUGGGCGGUACAAAGGGUAGCGAUGCCGCGAGGUGAAGCCAAUCCCAAAAAGCCGUCCACAGUUCGGAUUGGAGUCUGCAACUCGACUCCAUGAAGCCGGAAUCGCUAGUAAUCGUGGAUCAGCAUGCCACGGUGAAUACGUUCCCGGGCCUU